UUUGUAUGGUCUUUAAUAAGCCAUAAGAAAUGUCAUGAAAAGUUGACAAUUUCAUGAUAUCAAAUGAAUUAAAAGUGAAUGAAAGUGACAAAUAUAUUUACUAUAAACUAGUAAAUAGCAUUUGCAUUAUCAUAAGUCUCUAUGUAAAUGAUUUACAUGUUUAGAGCAAACAUUCAUGUUGUGAAUAAAAUGAAAUCAUUGUUGUCUAACAACUUUGAUAAGAAAGAGUUUGAAAAAGUAGAUGU
rnacentral:lncRNA from 1 species